GGUAGCCAACGCUCCGUGCUAGUCGCAGCUUGUGUUGUGCGAGCCUUAUUUUUUCAGCACUAGAAGAAAAGCGAGCAUGAAACGCAGAGGCUUCGUACCUCGUGGCCGUUUUCGAGGGAGAAACCGAGGACGCGGUGGUCGGGCGGCGUCUCGUUAAGUAGGAGAUUACGCGCGAUACCGACCUUAUUGCUACAAUAUUGAGAUUGUUAAGGAUCCUCGUACCUCGGCGUUCCCAUUAUUAGUGAAUCCUGUGCAUCAAAAUGAAGCUGAAAGGAACGCCAAUGCUGCUCCCCUGCAAAAUCAGCAGGCUGACGAUGCACAAGAUCAGAAUGCCCAGGAGGAACAAAACAUUGGUGCUGAUAAUGCAGCAAAUGGAAAUGCUCCAGAUGCAGCAAAUCAUGCAGCAAAUGGAAACGCUCCAGAUCAAGAAUUGCCUCCACCGAAGCCUUUUACAUGGGAUUAUCUAAA